rnacentral:lncRNA from 1 species
GUGCAUGCCCGGCUGCCGUUGCUGCCCCUGCCUCGUACAAACGUCAGAGAAGGCACAUGACACGCCCCUGGGGGCCAUCUGGCCGAAGUUCACCUGCGGGGCUGAGUGGAGGAUGCUAGGUUGCUGUGCUGUUUCUCCUACUGUGUUGCUGCCGCAUCACCCCUCAGAAAAACCGGGUCCUCAGUUGCCUGCGGUUUGCACUCACCAAAUAUAAUUAGCAAUUUGCAAUUCACCCGUAGGAUUAUUCCAGCCUCUGUAAUCACACACAGAAGGAUGAGCCUUCCUCGUGAGGGUUGGAGAUGGAGGGAGAAGGGAUCGAGAGUAAGGAUGGGACGGAGGUUGUGGAGCAGAAGACCAACACGCCAGAAAGGAAAAUAAUGAUCAUCUCAAUUUUUAUAUGUGGAGGUAUUGCUUUUCUUCUUUGGGGCAUUUCAAGAUUUCCCAGAAAAUUUGGAAUUCCAAGGCACCUUAGAAACAAGACAUGCCAAGAAAAUUUAACUAUAUGUCCACAAGGCUGGAACUGAAUCAAUAAUAAUUGCUUCUUUCAAUCUGAACAUGAAACAACUUAGAUCAAUGGCUGAGAAAACUGCAAAAGUUAUUAUGGAUCUCUGUCCAGGCUCAAUCUCAGAAUGAAAUGGGAAUCUUUGAUGCAUUAUCUGGGGCCCUCUUUAUAUUGGUUUGAACUGAGCAAGCACAAUGCAAACAAAAUGUGGAUGUGGGCAGAUGGAGCUACAUUCAGCAAUCGUGAAAGAAUCGACUUUUGUGCUAUGAGUCAUGGGAGCAAAAAGUGAGUAUUUAGAGAUGGAGAGGACAACGAAGAAGGAAGCCCUGGUGACUUGAAGAAAUCAUGGAGAGUUCUCUGGAUUCCCACAAACCUAUGGGGUUUAGAUUCCAGCUAAUACUUACACGGGUCUCAGAAGGACAGAGGGCAAGGGUUAACAUCUGGCUGUUAUUAAAAUCUCUGCGCUUCUUAAUAUUUUA